CCUACGGGGUGCAGCAGUCGAGAAUCAUUCACAAUGGGGGAAACCCUGAUGGGGCGACGCCGCGUGGGGGAAUGAAGGUCUUCGGAUUGUAAACCCCUGUCAUGUGGGAGCAAAUUAAAAAGAUAGUACCACAAGAGGAAGAGACGGCUAACUCUGGCCCAGCAGCCGCGGUAAUACAGAGGUCUCAAGCGUUGUUCGGAAUCACGGGGCGGAAAGCGUGCGUAGGCUGUUUCGUAAGUCUUGGGUGAAAGGCGCGGGCCCAACCCGCGGACGGCACAUGAUACUGCGAGACUAGAGUAAUGGAGGGGGAACCGGAAUUCUCGGUGUAGCCGUGAAAUGCGUAGAUAUCGAGAGGAACACUCGUGGCGAAGGCGGGUUCCUGGACAUUAACUGACGCUGAGGCACGAAGGCCAGGGGAGCGAAAGGGAUUAGAUACCCUGGUAGUC
rnacentral:rRNA from 1 species